CACAUGGACCCCCUGCACGUUUAAGAUAUUUUUUCAGGUAGUUCAGACAUAAACCACCGCCAGCUUAUUUCCCGAUAUCUUUCUAAAUCGUAACUUCGUACUUGGUUUGAUAGGUAAAGUGUGUAACAGAGAUCACUGAUGUCACUUGUGAAGACGCGAGCAGCACGUGUAGCAAGAACAAUUGUGUGUGAUUAUUAUGGUCAUAAACAAGAAAAAAGUAAAUCUCAUUUAAAAUGCACCUGACGAAAGUAUGUAGGAGAAUCAUGACAUAAACAUCUCGUAUAUUACGAACAAUUUCCAACAUAGCAAUUAUCAUACAUAAUUCUUUGGACUGCUUUACAAACGUCUAUAGAAAAGGGACACCUGUCUCGUGGAAUAGAGUGCUUUCUUCACUCUAAAAACACGUACCCUGGUUUAAACAUUUCCUGGUUAAUCUAAACUUGAUGCUGUUUGGGGUAACUUAAUGCUUCUGCAUGGUUAAACAUUUUGGUUGAUUUAACCACAAUCCUGGUUAACUUAGUUCUGGCCAAUUUAACCACCAGGGGCCGGUUGUUCAAAAGUGGGUUAGCGCUAACCCGCAUGGGUUAAAAUAUAACCUGCUGUUUUAGUUUGUGUAUUUCUGCACGUCUGUUUCUUUCGAAACUUCAGAGAAGUAAACUCCUGUCAAUCCACACAAGAUCUCUGAUGAAAUACUUCCAAAUUUAUAGACAAGCUGUCAGGACGUUCGCUUUGAAUUUUACGUUAACCUAGGGUUAAACUAACUCAGCUUUGAACAACCGGCCCCUGAUCAUUUCUGGUUAAUUUGAUCCGGCUAUAUGGUUGAAUUAACCAGAUAAUGAUAGGUGAACUAUUAACCAGGAAUUUGCUCGGCCACUACGUAUAUUUAUAAACAUUUUGAAUGUUCUAGUUUGAACACAAUCCAUUAGUGAUUCUCUAAAUUGCUUUCUUAGACUUUCACUCUGGAACAUUCGUGACUGCUGAACCUUUAAAAUAUGAUAAUCUACAUUUCUUUUAUCGUGGCCUCUUAGUUGUCUUUAACUUAUGUAGUUAACAGUAACUGGCGUUUUAAUUAAAAUAUAUAAAUUCAAUAAAACACAAUCUCUGACACAGAACUGUGUUAGCUAGAAAAGCAUUCGGAGAAAGAGUAUGCAUGGCCGAUGUUUUCUUAACUGAACAAACACAGCACAUAGGCAACAAUGAAAUGAAUAAAAAAAUAUCGGUAAAGAGAAAGUGAAACGUGAACCAUGCUAGCCGUGAGUAGUAUAACAUGGCACUGGGUCAGAAAUUGCGUUGUCAUGCAGUCUGUAGCAAAAAUGUUUCAAAGAUUUUAUAUUUACUGUGAGUCUGUGUAGACCUUAGCUAUGAACAUAGUCAUAGACGCGACGCCGAGCUCAUCAUCCUGCAGUGAUCUCUGUAUGUACAGCCGAACAAACAUCCGAUACAGUGACAUGACAGGAUUAUUGUAAACGACUAGUCGUAUCUAGUGAUAAUAGAGACCUUACGAUUUUAGGACGGCAACGCGACGGCGACCGGGCCAAAACAAACUCCUUCAAAUAAAUGGUAGUAAAGAUAGUUCGUGGUAUAUUAUCAAUCGUAUGAAUUUAAUACAGUUUUAGAAGUUGAAGAUAUGGGUUUUAUGGUUGGGAAGAGUUCUGCUAAACCCAGUUUGAAGUUGCACUUGUUGCGGCUUGGAAUGCAGCCGUUGUAUCAAGACGUGAAAAUCUGUGAUUUGGCGUUGUAAACAGAGCGAGGACAAUGUCUAAGUUAUUCAUAUAUUGUAAUUACUCAAUUCUUUUCAAUGAUGUGUUGUACUGGUAGCCGUUGCCGUCGCGUUGCCGUCCUAAAAUCGUAAGGUCUCUAAUGACGGCCGUACUGUGACCACUGUUCCUACGCAAUAAUAUCAGUCAAGCGUAAUUUGCAACUUUUGGGUAGUGAUGUUUUGGGGUUGUUCGACACUAAGUUGACAUAGCUAGCUUUUAUGUAAUUAAAGUACGUAUUUCUUGAAAUAGGGAUUGUGGUUUCCGUAUCUUACCGAAAGAAUUUAAUAAAAAUGAGUUAAAUGAAUGUACAUACGGUAUCUUAUCGACUUAUACAUACUUAUUGUCCAUUUUUAAAUGCAAAUACAAAUUUAUUACUAA
rnacentral:lncRNA from 1 species